UAGGGAAUCUUCCGCAAUGGGCGAAAGCCUGACGGAGCAACGCCGCGUGAGUGAUGAAGGUCUUCGGAUCGUAAAACUCUGUUAUUAGGGAAGAACAAAUGUGUAAGUAACUAUGCACGUCUUGACGGUACCUAAUCAGAAAGCCACGGCUAACUACGUGCCAGCAGCCGCGGUAAUACGUAGGUGGCAAGCGUUAUCCGGAAUUAUUGGGCGUAAAGCGCGCGUAGGCGGUUUUUUAAGUCUGAUGUGAAAGCCCACGGCUCAACCGUGGAGGGUCAUUGGAAACUGGUAAACUUGAGUGCAGAAGAAGAAAGUGGAAUUCCAUGUGUAGCGGUGAAAUGCGCAGAGAUAUGGAGGAAAACCAGUGGCGAAGGCGACUUUCUGGUCUGUAACUGACGCUGAUGUGCGAAAGCGUGGGGAUCAAACAGG
rnacentral:rRNA from 1 species